UGUGUGGAUUUGGGUUGCAUCCUGCUCGCUGUUUCGCUACAAUGUCAGCAGCACGCCUGAUUUCUCUCAUCGCUUGCUGCAUAACGUUUUUCCACUCUGGAAAUGCUCAGCUGGGAGAGUCUAGAUUACAUGUUAGACCCUAUGAAGUCCUGCUGAGGCAAAAUCUGGUUCUUCUAAUAAGUGUUCUGUCCACCCUGCUGGUGGUCAUGAUUGGAAUGGCAGUGUGUGUCUACAAACCUCUUCGACGCAGGUGACAAGCCCUCAGGAUGAAAGACGCCGGGAACUGAACGCUACUAUGGAGAAGGCUUGAUUUUGAAUAUUAAUGAGCCGAGCCAAGCCAUUGGACGAGAACAACGCAACGUCAGCGCGAACUAUUUAAUAGUCGGGAUCCAACCCUUCGCUAUUGGAAGGUUGUGAAUCAACGUCAGUAUGACCUAAUUAAUAUUGAUGAACCACUGGCGUCUUCCCUGCAACGCUUUAAUUAAAUCGAGUCAUGAUCUCCAGAUUAAACCCUCAUUGUAAUCAAGUCUCCCCAAACCUUAUAAGUGUUUAAAACUGAACACUUAUUUCAAACACAUGCGUACUAAAUUAGGAUGUGUUUUUUACAGUGUGCAAGCUGCUAAAAUGUUUACAGUCUGAAUUUAUACGUAUUUAUUUAUUUAAUAUUAUUUUCAUGUAUUUUUUGUAAUAUGUUUAUUUGACUGGUUUUUGAAUGUCAGAUCUCUUGAAUACGGCUACUGAAUAGAAUAAAUUAAAGGCAAUGUCUGAA